rnacentral:rRNA from 1 species
GUGGGGAAUAUUGGGCAAUGGGGGGAACCCUGACCCAGCGACGCCGCGUGAGUGAUGAAGGCCUUAGGGUCGUAAAGCUCUGUUGAAUGGGAAGAAAAAAAUGACGGUACCAUUCGAGGAAGGACCGGCUAACUUCGUGCCAGCAGCCGCGGUAAUACGAGGGGUCCUAGCGUUGUUCGGAAUCAUUGGGCGUAAAGGGUGUGUAGGUGGCCAUGUAAGUCAGGUGUGAAAGCCCCGGGCUCAACCCGGGAAGUGCACUUGAUACUGCGUGGCUUGAGUACCGAAGAGGGUAGUGGAAUUCCAGGUGUAGUGGUGAAAUACGUAGAUAUCUGGAGGAACACCGGUGGCGAAGGCGGCUACCUGGUCGAGUACUGACACUGAGACACGAAAGCAUGGGGAUCAAACAGGAUUAGAUACCCUAGUAGUCC